rnacentral:rRNA from 1 species
AGUGAACGCUGGCGGUAGGCCUAGCACAUGCAAGUCGAACGGCAGCACAGUAAGAGCUUGCUCUUACGGGUGGCGAGUGGCGGACGGGUGAGGAAUACAUCGGAAUCUACUUUUUCGUGGGGGAUAACGUAGGGAAACUUACGCUAAUACCGCAUACGACCUACGGGUGAAAGCAGGGGAUCUUCGGACCUUGCGCGAUUGAAUGAGCCGAUGUCGGAUUAGCUAGUUGGCGGGGUAAAGGCCCACCAAGGCGACGAUCCGUAGCUGGUCUGAGAGGAUGAUCAGCCACACGGGAACUGAGACACGGUCCAGACUCCUACGGGAGGCAGCAGUGGGGAAUAUUGGACAAUGGGCGCAAGCCUGAUCCAGCCAUACCGCGUGGGUGAAGAAGGCCUUCGGGUUGUAAAGCCCUUUUGUUGGGAAAGAAAAGCAGCAGGUUAAUACCCCGCUGUUCUGACGGUACCCAAAGAAUAAGCACCGGCUAACUUCGUG